ACCGAAGGGAGGAGCACUUUCACUUCCUUUAUAGAAUGGAAUGUGGUGGCACAGGGACUCCUUGUGGGACAGACGUUUGCUUCAGCCUGCCCAGGUGUGUGACAUUUUGAAGGGUGUCAUUUUGGUAAUCUGCUAUUUUAUGAUGCACUAUGUUGACUACUCCAUGAUGUACCACCUGAUAAGGGGGCAGUCCGUCAUCAAGCUCUACAUCAUCUACAACAUGCUGGAGCCAUGAAGAGAUUUUUCCUAGUGAGAGGACAGAUGGGGUGGGGGCUGCUGGCCUUUCUGCUCUGAAGCUGCAUCGCUGUGGUAGACAAGGACUCUCCAUCUCUUCACAGAAGCCAUGGAGCUCUAGCCUUCCUGGUACCUCCUAAAUUCAAGACCAAGAUGUUUUAAAACCAUACCCCAGCUACCUGAUUCUAGGCUUGCUGCGCGUACACUUUGCCCCACCAAGUAGCUGAUCGUCUGUUUUCAUCUUUUGGACAAGACAUAUUAGAUGCUCUCUAUUGGACAGCAACAGAGCCUAAAGAAAGAAAAAGAGCCCACAUUGGGGUGAUUCCUCACUUUUUCAUGGCUG
rnacentral:lncRNA from 1 species